CUAGGAAGGCACCAGAAAGUAGAAUGAGAGCUCUCCAGUCUCUGGGUGAAAAACAGCAGGGGUUUUUGUGAGUGGUCCUUCUGAGAACAAUGACACUGGAGCGCGCAUGCACGAGACAACUCCAUGUUUUACUUUCAGUGUUUGAACGAAUACAACGUCGCCCGGUUGGAAUAUUAUCGCUAUUUUACGAGAAAAAUCGCACACAAAUUUAUUUAAACAGCGUUUGACAUGCUUCGAAGUACGGUAAUGGAAUAUUUUGAAAUAUUUUGUCACGAAACGCGCCGGCGCGUCACCCUUCGGAUAGUUACCUGAACGCAUGAACAAAACGGAGCUAUUUCAAUAUAACUAUGGAUUAUUUCGAACCAAAACAACAUUUGUUGUUGAAGUAGAAGUCCUGGGAGUGCAUUCUGACAAAGAACAGCAAAGUGUAAUUCCAGACGAUGACGCCAUCAUCAGGAGAGGAAAGGUUAGCGUUGAGAAUUUGGCAGUAUGUCCAACCGGACUCACAACCGCAGACCACAUGUAACCACGCCAUCUCAUCCACCUGCAGGAUCGUCUGAGACCAGCCACCUGGACAGCUUAUGAAACUGUGGGUUUGCACAACUGAAACAUUUCUGCACAAACAGUCAGAAACUGUCUCAGGGAAGCUCAUCUGCGUCCUCAUAAGGGUUGUCAUGACGUU
rnacentral:lncRNA from 1 species